rnacentral:rRNA from 1 species
UACGUAGGGGGCAAGCGUUGUCCGGAUUUAUUGGGCGUAAAGAGCGUGUAGGCGGCCGUACAGGUCAGCUGUGAAAACUCGAGGCUCAACCUCGAGACGUCGGUUGAAACCGUACGGCUAGAGUCCGGAAGAGGAGAGUGGAAUUCCCGGUGUAGCGGUGAAAUGCGCAGAUAUCGGGAAGAACACCCGUGGCGAAGGCAGCUCGCUGGAACGGUACUGACGCUGAGGCGCGAAGGCGUGGGGAGCGAACAGG